rnacentral:rRNA from 1 species
AACGAACGUUAGCGGCGCGCCUAACACAUGCAAGUCGCACGAGAAAGGGCUUCGGCCCCGGUAAAGUGGCGCACGGGUGAGUAACACGUGGGUAACCUGCCCUCGAGCGGGGGAUAACAUUCCGAAAGGAGUGCUAAUACCGCAUAAGACCACGACCUCGAAAGAGGUUGAGGUCAAAGCUGGCCUCUAUACAUAAGCUAGCACUUGAGGAUGGGCCCGCGGAGCAUCAGCUAGUUGGUGAGGUAAUGGCUCACCAAGGCUAAGACGCUUAGCUGGUCUGAGAGGAUGAUCAGCCACACUGGAACUGAGACACGGUCCAGACUCCUACGGGAGGCAGCAGUGGGGAAUCUUGCGCAAUGGGCGAAAGCCUGACGCAGCGACGCCGCGUGAGUGAUGAAGGCCUUCGGUUGUAAGCUCUGUGGGGCGAGACGAAUAAGUGCAGCCUAAUACGUUGCAUGAUGACGGUAUCGCCUUAGCAAGC